rnacentral:rRNA from 1 species
GAUCCUGGCUCAGGACGAACGCUGUCGGCGCGCCUAACACAUGCAAGUCGAGGGGCAGCAUGAACUUAGCUUGCUAAGUUUGAUGGCGACCGGCGCACGGGUGAGUAACACGUAUCCAACCUGCCGAUGACUCGGGGAUAGCCUUUCGAAAGAAAGAUUAAUACCCGAUGGCAUAGUUCUUCCGCAUGGUGGAACUAUUAAAGAAUUUCGGUCAUCGAUGGGGAUGCGUUCCAUUAGGUUG